GUUUCUGCUUAAUUCUAGUCAUCGGCUUGGAGCGUUUUAUCAUCCCGUUCCUCCGCCAUUUUCGUCGUUGCUCUACAGACGGUCGGUCGUUACUCUUACCAAUAUAAGAAGUAACGAUCUUUCAUAAUGGUGAACGGUAGAAUCCCAUCAGUCUUCUCAAAGACUUACGUCACACCGCGUCGUCCCUAUGAAAAGGCACGUCUUGACCAAGAGUUGAAGAUCAUCGGAGAAUACGGUCUCCGUAACAAACGUGAAGUAUGGAGAGUAAAAUACACUCUCGCUAAAAUCCGUAAAGCUGCUCGUGAGUUGCUUACUCUCGAAGAAAAAGACCCAAAGCGUCUCUUUGAAGGAAACGCACUUUUGCGUCGUCUGGUACGAAUUGGAGUCUUGGACGAGAGCCACAUGAAACUCGAUUACGUGUUGGGUCUUAAAAUUGAAGAUUUCUUGGAGAGACGUCUCCAGACUCAAGUGUUCAAACUUGGUCUUGCCAAGUCAAUCCACCACGCCCGUGUUCUUAUCCGUCAGAGACACAUUCGAUUGUCUAACGAUUGAACAUGAUCGUUUAGACAAUAAUUGGUUUAAUUUUCGUAAAGGCCACUGAAGUCUAGUUUUUAUGACUAGUACUUUACGCCGCCGUUAACCCGUGAGGGAGCGCUGCCAAUUUUCGGCAUAACGAGGGGGAAGAGAUUACUCUGAAAAUAAUUUUGAAAAUCGUGUUCGCAAACAAGUCGUGAACAUCCCGUCGUUCAUUGUUCGUUUGGACUCGCAAAAACACAUUGAUUUCUCAUUGAAAUCGCCGUUCGGUGGUGGCCGUCCUGGUCGUGUAAAGAGGAAGAACAUGCGUAAGGGAACUGGCGCAGCUGCCGCAGAGGAAGAAGAAGAUUAAACUGUAAAUUAAAUGUUCAAUUUGAACUUUAAAUAAAAUCACUCAUUUACAGUUUAAAAAUA